GUCGUCAGCUCGUGUCGUGAGAUGUUGGGUUAAGUCCCGCAACGAGCGCAACCCUUAUUAUUAGUUGCCAGCAUUAAGUUGGGCACUCUAAUGAGACUGCCGGUGACAAACCGGAGGAAGGUGGGGAUGACGUCAAGUCAUCAUGCCCCUUAUGACCUGGGCUACACACGUGCUACAAUGGGCAGUACAACGAGGAGCGAACUUGUGAAGGCAAGCGAAUCUCUGAAAGCUGUUCUCAGUUCGGACUGUAGGCUGCAACUCGCCUACACGAAGCUGGAAUCGCUAGUAAUCGCGGAUCAGCACGCCGCGGUGAAUACGUUCCCGGGA
rnacentral:rRNA from 1 species